rnacentral:rRNA from 1 species
AGUGAACGCUGGCGGUAGGCCUAACACAUGCAAGUCGAACGGCAGCACAGUAAGAGCUUGCUCUUACGGGUGGCGAGUGGCGGACGGGUGAGGAAUACAUCGGAAUCUACUUUCUCGUGGGGGAUAACGUAGGGAAACUUACGCUAAUACCGCAUACGACCUACGGGUGAAAGUAGGGGAUCUUCGGACCUUGCGCGAUUGAAUGAGCCGAUGUCGGAUUAGCUAGUUGGCGGGGUAAAGGCCUACCAAGGCGACGAUCCGUAACUGGUCUGAGAGGAUGAUCAGUCACACUGGAACUGAGACACGGUCCAGACUCCUACGGGAGGCAGCAGUGGGGAAUAUUGGACAAUGGGCGAAAGCCUGAUCCAGCCAUGCCGCGUGUGUGAAGAAGGUCUUCGGAUUGUAAAGCACUUUAAGUUGGGAGGAAGGGCAGUAAGUUAAUACCUUGCUGUUUUGACGUUACCAACAGAAUAAGCACCGGCUAACUUCGUG